rnacentral:rRNA from 1 species
UUAAAGGGUGCGUAGGUGGGCAAGUAAGUCAGUGGUGAAAUCUCUGGGCUUAACCCGGAAACUGCCAUUGAUACUAUUUGUCUUGAAUUCUCUGGAGGUAAGCGGAAUAUGUCAUGUAGCGGUGAAAUGCUUAGAUAUGACAUAGAACACCCAUUGCGAAGGCAGCUUACUACGGAGACAUUGACACUGAGGCACGAAAGCGUGGGGAUCAAACAGGAUUAGAUACCCUGGUAGUCCACGCCGUAAACGAUGGGCACUAGGCCCUUGGGGGAGCGACCCCCUGAGGACCGGCGCAAACGCAUUAAGUGCCCCGCCUGGGGAGUACGGCCGCAAGGCUGAAACUCAAAGGAAUUGACGGGGGCCCGCACAAGCGGUGGAGCAUGUGGUUUAAUUCGACGCAACGCGAAGAACCUUACCUGGGCUUGACAUGGCCGGGAAUGGCCGGGGAAACCUGGUCCGCUCUUCGGAGCUCGGUCACAGGUGCUGCAUGGCUGUCGUCAGCUCGUGUCGUGAGAUGUUGGGUUAAGUCCUAUAACGAGCGCAACCCCUGCUAUCAGUUGCUACCUAACGGAGCACUCUGAUGGGACUGCCUGGGAAACCAGGAGGAAGGUGGGGAUGAUGUCAAGUCCGCAUGGUCCUUAUGCCCAGGGCCACACACGUGUUACAAGGGUCGGUACAAAGGGUUGCCAAACCGUAAGGUGGAGCUAAUCUCAUAAAGCCGAUCUAAGUUCGGAUUGAGGUCUGCAACUCGACCUCAUGAAGUUGAAAUCGCUAGUAAUCGUGUAU